UUUUGCCUACGGGACGCAGCAGUGGGGAAUAUUACACAAUGGGGGAAACCCUGAUGCAGCGACGCCGCGUGAGUGAGGAAGUAUUUCGGUAUGUAAAGCUCUAUCAGCAGGGAAGAAAAAAUGACGGUACCUGACUAAGAAGCACCGGCUAAAUACGUGCCAGCAGCCGCGGUAAUACGUAUGGUGCAAGCGUUAUCCGGAUUUACUGGGUGUAAAGGGAGCGCAGGCGGUACGGCAAGUCUGAUGUGA
rnacentral:rRNA from 1 species